GUCAGGAUGAACGCUGGCGGCGUGCCUAACACAUGCAAGUCGAGCGGAGAUAAGUUGAAGCCUAGCGAUCUUAUCUUAGCGGCGGAUGGGUGAGUAACACGUGGGUAACCUGCCCUGCACUGGGGAAUAACAGCUGGAAACGGCUGUUAAUGCCGCAUAUGCGCACGGAGCCGCAUGGCUUUGGGCGGAAAGAUUUAUCGGUGCAGGAUGGGCCCGCGCCGGAUUAACUAGUUGGCGGGGUAACGGCCCACCAAGGUGAUGAUCCGUAGCCGACCUGAGAGGGUGACCGGCCACAUUGGGACUGAGACACGGCCCAAACUCCUACGGGAGGCAGCAGUGGGGGAUAUUGCACAAUGGGGGAAACCCUGAUGCAGCGACGCCGCGUGAAGGAUGAAGUAUUUCGGUAUGUAAACUUCUAUCAGCGGGGAAGAAGAUGACGGUACCCGACUAAGAAGCCCCGGCUAACUACGUGCCAGCAGCCGC
rnacentral:rRNA from 1 species